GAAAUACUCCCUCCGUCCCAAAAUUCUUGUCUUAGAUUUGUCUAGAUAUGAAUGUAUCUAGUCACGUUUUAGUAUUUAGAUACAUCCAUUUAUAUACAAAGUUAAGACAAGAAUUUUGGGACGGAGGGAGUAUAAG
rnacentral:pre_miRNA from 1 species